UUUCCCCCUGCGGCAAUCCACACCACCUCCAUCACCGGAUGCUGGGGGGGGGCGGGGACAGACGCAGUCCUGGGAGUGGCCUGGGAUUGCCGACUAUAAAAGCAGGUAGUAUUUUUUAAGCACUUAAGUGAUAGUCCAGAUGUUGUGCUAAGCAUUCUGCAUAGAUCACCUCACUUAAUUCUCUACAGCUCUGUGAGGACGUUCCAUUAUGGGAAUAUUCUCUCUGGUCACCACUCUGUACCCAUCACUUCAUCUAAUCUUUGCGGCAGCCCUAUAUGGCCUGUUGUGAGACUCAAGUCUGACACUGUCUGUGAAAAGUGAGAACCCUGCAGUUUUGUCCGUCAGCAACUGUGGUGGAUCGUAUCUACGCCGUCUGCUCCCCCUCGUCCCAAACCAGCAACACAGCCCUGCGGGAUUCAAGAGAUGCGACUGAACAGCCUUCCCACGCAGAAGGCCAAGGAUGAGGCCGACAGCCCACAGAAACUUCCGCCUAUGAAGGAACCAGAAAAUCACCAGCAGCCGCCUCAGACUGCAUUAUUAGGAACACAGGAUGUGUUUACCUUGGUUAUGUUCCAUGGUUUCUUUAAAUUAUUAUUUUUUUUACUA